rnacentral:rRNA from 1 species
CCCUCGGGACUGAGGAUAAUACCCUAUAGGUUACCGAUGCUGGAAUGCUCGGUAACUCAAAGUUCCGGCGCCUUAGGAUGGAUCUGCGGCCGAUUAGGUUGUUGUUGGGGUAACGGCCCAACAAGCCCGUAAUCGGUACGGGUUGUGGGAGCAAGAGCCCGGAGUUGGAUUCUGAGACACGAAUCCAGGCCCUACGGGGCGCAGCAGGCGCGAAAACUUUACAAUGCGGGCAACCGUGAUAAGGGAACCUCGAGUGCCUGUACAUGCAGGCUGUCUGGGUGUCUAAAACACACCCAAAGAAAGGGCCGGGCAAGACCGGUGCCAGCCGCCGCGGUAAUACCGGCGGCUCGAGUGGUGGCCACUUUUAUUGGGCUUAAAGCGUUCGUAGCUGGGUUGUUAAGUCUCUUGGGAAAUCCGGCGGCUUAACCGUCGGGCGUCUAAGAGAUACUGGCAAUCUUGGAACCGGGAGAGGUGAGGGGUACUUCGGGGGUAGGAGUGAAAUCCUGUAAUCCUCGAGGGACCACCUGUGGCGAAGGCGCCUCACCAGAACGGCUUCGACAGUGAGGGACGAAAGCUGGGGGAGCAAACCGGAUUAGAUACCCGGGUAGUCCCAGCCGUAAACGAUGUGCGUUAGGUGUAUCGACGACCACGAGUCGUCGAGGUGCCGAAGGGAAACCGUGAAACGUACCGCCUGGGAAGUACGGUCGCAAGGCUGAAACUUAAAGGAAUUGGCGGGGGAGCACCACAACAGGUGGAGCCUGCGGUUUAAUUGGACUCAACGCCGGGAAGCUCACCGGAUAGGACAGCGGAAUGAUUGCCGGGCUGAAGACUCUGCAUGACUAGCUGAGAGGAGGUGCAUGGCCGUCGUCAGUUCGUACUGUGAAGCAUCCUGUUAAGUCAGGCAACGAGCGAGACCCACGCCAACAGUUGCCAGCACGAUCCCCGGAUCGGUGGGGACACUGUUGGGACCGCCUCUGCUAAAGAGGAGGAAGGAAUGGGCAACGGUAGGUCAGCAUGCCCCGAAUUAUCCGGGCUACACGCGGGCUACAAUGGGCAGGACAAUGGGUAUCGACACCGAAAGGUGAAGGCAAUCUCCUAAACCUGUCCGUAGUUCGGAUUGUGGGCUGUAACUCGCCCACAUGAAGCUGGAAUCUGUAGUAAUCGCGUCAA